rnacentral:lncRNA from 1 species
CCAAAAGUAGAAUAAAUCGAUCCAUCGAAUUUCCUGCUCUCUUGUAACACAAAUUUUGUAAUUGUAUAUUUUAACAUGGUAAUGCUUAUUUAAAAGAUGGGCCAAAAUUCUUUAGUUUGAAUGCUGUUUGAUUCCUAAAAGAUACUGUAUGUCGCCAUAUUUGGAUACUAAUGAAUAAAUACAUGACUUGUGUCAACGUCAGCGCGCUAUGUUUGCUCCAAACCAUCAUCUCCACCACCAGCAUCUUAGCCAUGCUUUAGCACAGGCGAUGACAGGGCUGCUUGGCCUUGAUGACCAUGCAUGUUACCUGGCAAUAUUACAAUACCUGCAUUUCUGAAUUGCUGGCAUGUUGUUUUGCCGCUUGCUACAGAAAGCAAAAUCAAACUUUUAGCACACAUUAAUGAUUGAUGGUAACUACACUACUAUUUUUUACUCCCUCCGUAUUUUAAAAAUGAUACUAUUGAUUUUUUUGGCACACAUAUGACUAUUUAGAUUCAUGUUAUAUAGAAAAGGAAAAUCAGGGCCUAUUCUGCAUAUGCGAAGCUUUAAAGAUUUCUUAAAAUAAAUUUAAAUGCAUCAGUUAAAAGAACUUGAAUGAUAUUCAAAUCAUCAGACUACUUAACCUGGACUUGCAUUUCUUUCGAACUCAACAUAAUUAAAAGCCAAAUAAACAAUAAUCUUAUCAAUUUUUCCAUUUAUGCCUAUGGUUCAUGCUCUGUUUCAUGCAUAUUAGUAGUAAAUUAAAUAAAAAAAAUCAGGCAUGUCUUUAUGACCAUUAAGUGAAUAAGGCCACUCUAAGUGCAAUGGUGCACGACAAAAAUACCAUGACAUACUUGAAACAAAAGACUAUUUUUGCCGGUGACCUAUAAAUUCUGGAGCUUUUUAUUUUUCUCGGUAGAAUUGGCUGUCCAGUGGGCUUUUGGGAUCAUCCAUGCCGUGAAAGAAAACAAAUUUGUAAUAAACAAUUAAACGCUCACUUGUUUUUUCCUGAAUCUACGUUAGCAUGAUAUGGAUGCAUUUUUAUAUAUACUAAAUUAUUUACUUAGCUUUCAUGCUUCCCCUAAUCUGAGAUGGAUGAGCCAUAUGAUGGAGUGGGAUGGCACGCCUGCUGACAUGAAGGACUGGAGGCCCUACUGGCUAAAAUAAAACGUUGCCCUGGUACUCCAGUGCUAUGACCCCCUGUACAUGCUCUUCUUGUAUAUAUCAACAUUAUCAAGAUAUCUAUCCUCAGGAUCACGUGCCGUUUGCAUUUCUGAAUAUAUAUAUGCAAUUGCACUCCGAGCAAGUGUGGAGUUGUAAGUAACUUAAAAGUGAUUAUUUGUUGACGUGUUUCGGGUGCGUUCUGUUAGUUUGGACAUGUUCUUUUGGCCGCAAAGCACUGCACUGUCUAGAGAGAAGAUUUAUCAGCCAUUCUGGACUGUUAUCUCCGACGAAAACUAAGUUACUAUGUGUAUUAUAUAUAAUCUGUUAUGAAAUAAUGUUGGACUUUGUACAGUGUAUUGCUUCCCUUGCUGAGUAAAAUGGAACUGUUUGUGCUCUAUGGAUCUCAGUGGAUCCGGUUUUGGUAAGUCGGUGAGCUCGGUGUGAAAACAACUGCACAACAAGUUAUUAACUUGACCUGAAUACUCCCUGAUGAAUGCUUGAUUAGCGUAUGUGCGUGCGGUUAGCAUAAGCAGUACAUGAAAUGUGUUUGCAUGCACGUACAUUCUCCAAAUUGUUUGAAUGCUUGAGAUUAAGGCUCCAUUUUGAAGGACAAUCAUAGAAAUUUUGGAGAAUUUUAUUUCUAUAUGAUUUUUUCCUAUGGACAUUACUGAAUCAUAUGCAAUGCCUCAUUUCAUUUACGCCUGUUUUGGAGAAAAUUUAACCUCAGGAAAAUGUUUUUCUUAGGUCUAAUUAAACUAUCCUUACCUUUUUUGGUGGCAUGCAUAUUACAUGUGUGUUCCAACAGGGCUAUAUUAAAAAGUAUUAUUAGCAUGUUAUUAACAUUUUUUUGCAUAUAUCACCUCUUAAUCGUUUGAUGUAUUUGUUAGUGACAUAUGGGAGUAUUGAAUUCCAAAAUUACUUUUCUACACAGAUAAACAGCUAGUAAUGAAGGUUGACACAAGUCUAUUUUACUCCCUCAAACAUUUCCAUCGGAGCACUUAGGUUUAUAGUUUGGGUGUUUAAUGGAAAAAGGUCAGGCGGCAUAUUUGUAAAUAAAAAAUAAUUUGUGAAUAAAAUUUGUAUGUACGUAUUAUUAGCGACCUAAAAGCCAGGGUUGUAAAAUAAACUUCGGCGAAAAAACCCAAAAUCAACUCUAAAUUUAAGGUUAAAAUUUAAAUUUUUGCUUAUAAGCAUAAGCAAAAAGAUGAGAGCCCCUAAACUAUUUUUUUACUUAUUUCACACACUGAACUAUUGAAAAAGGUUCAGUCUACUCUCUACUGCUACUUCUGUUUUUAGUUUCUCUCUAUAUAUAUAAUAUAUAUAUAAGUAAUAGUUUCCACCGAUGUUAGGAUGAUAGAUCAUUACAACUUACAGCUCGUCAAUCUUUUAGAAUUUUUCAAAUUGUUUAUAUAGGUUGGAAGCAAAAUAAAUUGAUUUAAACAUCAAUAUUCCAGAGUUCAAGCAAAUAGUCACGAAAAUUGAAAAUAUUUAUAAACUUCAAUAAUGGUGUCAUCUAUGGCUAAAAAAUGACCUUAAAUACCAGCUUGUUUCAUAAUGUAAGAUGUUUGAUUUUUUUACUUGCAAUGUUUGACUGUUUGUCUUAUUCAAAAAAUUAUGAAAAUAUCAUUUAUUUUUCUUAGGACUUACUUUAUUAUCAAAAGAAUUUUAAGCACGACUUGUUAUUUUUUAUAUUUAUAUUAAAUAUUUGAAUAAGACGAAUGGUCAAACGUUGCUAUCAAAAAAGUCAAACAUCUAACAUUAUGAAAUGGGGGUAGUACUAACAAUAACAAAAAAGAGAAAUGUUAUAAAUAGUGAAAUGAACCAUUUUUAAUAUUUUAGUGGGUAAAAUGAGCCAAAGAUAGUUUAAGGGGUUAAGUAGCUCGCGAAGUAAAGUAAUUUUUUCUUUGAAAAACAAGGAAUUGUUGGGCCGGAGGUGAUUCCAGAUUCACCGCUCACCACAAAUGCUAUUUUGUAGGACUAUAAACAUGCCUUAUAAUCCAUUUUACACUUGGGUUCUUGUCAGCAUACAGCGUUUCUUUUCUAUUCUUCUAUUCUAUUAUUUCAAUCAUGUGGUUGAAAGGAGCCCCCAAGCAUACAUUAAUUUUGACUAAAACAUUCGAGUUGCAUAAGAAGAAACCAAACUACAUGCACACUAAACUAAUUGAUCAAUUUGCUCCUCGCUUCGCCACGUCACAUUCCAUCCUUGGUAAUAGUAAGAAACACUAAGAAGUAAAGAAGGCUACCUAGCCUAGGGUGCCGACGCCGGCGAAGGAGUUGCUCCGCGUCAUCGGCAUCGACCGCGGCUGCCUCGGCCGGUAGCUCUUCCACCGGACCACCGCGUGGUCGCCGUCCUCGUCGUCCCCGACGCGGCAACGCUCGCCGAGGAUGAUCGUCUUCGUCCACAGGGUGCUGCCCUCGGGGGCCGGCUCACUGCCGCCGGCGUCCUCGUCAUNN